rnacentral:rRNA from 1 species
GACGAACGCUGGCGGCGUGCUUAACACAUGCAAGUCGAACGGAAAGGCCCCUUUGGGGGUACUCGAGUGGCGAACGGGUGAGUAACACGUGAGUACCUGCCCUUGACUUCGGGAUAACUUCAGGAAACUGGGGCUAAUACCGGAUAGGAAUCCUUGCUGCAUGGUGGGGGUUGGAAAGCUUCGGCGGUUUUGGAUGGACUCGCGGCUUAUCAGCUUGUUGGUGGGGUAGUGGCUUACCAAGGCUUUGACGGGUAGCCGGCCUGAGAGGGCGACCGGCCACAUUGGGACUGAGAUACGGCCCAGACUCCUACGGGAGGCAGCAGUGGGGAAUAUUGCACAAUGGGCGGAAGCCUGAUGCAGCAACGCCGCGUGCGGGAUGACGGCCUUCGGGUUGUAAACCGCUUUCAGCAGGGGCGAAGCUUGUGGUGACGGUACCUGCAGAAGAAGCACCGGCUAACUACGUG